GAUGAACGCUAGCUACAGGCUUAACACAUGCCAGUCGAGGGGAAGCGACAUCGAAAGCUUGCUUUUGAUGGGCGUCGACCGGCGCACGGGUGAGUAACGCGUAUCCAACCUGCCCAUCACUUGGGAAUAACCUUGCGAAAGUAAGACUAAUACCCAAUGACAUCCCACGAAGACAUCUGAAUGGGAUUAAAGAUUUAUCGGUGAUGGAUGGGGAUGCGUCUGAUUAGCUUGUUGGCGGGGUAACGGCCCACCAAGGCAACGAUCAGUAGGGGUUCUGAGAGGAAGGUCCCCCACAUUGGAACUGAGACACGGUCCAAACUCCUACGGGAGGCAGCAGUGAGGAAUAUUGGUCAAUGGGCGAGAGCCUGAACCAGCCAAGUAGCGUGCAGGAUGACGGCCCUAUGGGUUGUAAACUGCUUUUAUAAGGGAAUAAAGUGGGUCUCGUGAGACUUUUUGCAUGUACCUUAUGAAUAAGGACCGGCUAAUUCCGUG
rnacentral:rRNA from 1 species